rnacentral:lncRNA from 1 species
AACCUGCCCUCCAGGUCCCUCCUCCUUGUCCUCCUCCUCCUCCUCCUCGCCCUGGCGCGCGCGCUCACCUUUCUCCUGCUCCUCGGCUUGCAAACAGAUGGGGAUGUUCUUCUUCCAGCCCGGCAUGGUGCGCCCUGCUCCUGCCGCUGCUCCUCCUCCUCUCUUCGCCCGCGCUCUCUCCCGGCUUUCUUGCUCCCUCUGUCUCUCCCGAUCGCGCUCUCCUCUCCUCUCUCUGUCUCUGCGGUUCGCAGCUGCCUCGUUCCGCUUGUCCUCUUCCUCCACUCCCCCGAGGCUGGCUCAGAGGGGCUGGGGCCAGGAGGCGGCGGCUCCCCGGCACAUUGCAGUAGGCGCCGGUGCCUGCCCGGGUCCUUCUCUCUCCGCCUCGCUCCCUCGGCGGCGGCAGUCACGGUCAGCGGGCAGGAGGGGCUGCAGCAGCGGCAGCCUUGGGCCGGAGAGGGCUGGGAGGGGGCGGGGGGCUUGCACGCCUUCCACGAGGCCACCCGGGGCCAGGGAGAAGGAGGGGGGGCAGAAGAUUGCAAAGCCCUGCGGGGAGGAUCAGAAUAUUUGGAGAAAAAAAAAAGACCUCGGAGAUUAUCUAGACCAUGUCACAAUUAGGCAAGGAUCCCUUCAACAUCUAUAAUUGUUGUAGGAUCACCAUCAAUAUCGACAUCUAUUUGGGAUCCAUGGAAGUAAGUACCAUUAAACAGCUAGAAAUUCACCAUAUGUGGCCCAAGAAGAUGGAAGAGCCCUGCCACAUAGGUUAUUUUUCCUCUAAAAAGGCAAUGAAACCAUCCUCAAAGUCUAAGUGGUCCAGAAGACUGAAGCUUGAACUGAUAAUGAAACUUCCUAACCACCUAAGGCAUAAAAGCCCAGGUCUGAAGUGGCUGGUCUUCCUCAGACUUGACAGAUUUCUCACUGCCAUGUGAGUUAACACACUAUUCUGAUUUGGCUCAACAUGGAGGUAAGAGGACCAAUAAUACAUCUAAUGAAUAUCUUUGCCAUGCUAUUGUUGAGUAAACUUCCUUUUGUUAGGGGGUUGCGUGGUCUACUAACAUCUCAUUUCAUUCUAAUGUUGAGCCUAAAUCACUAGACCAUCCUGAAGUCAGGUCUGGGCCAGAAGAACUACAAAUAAUCAAGUAGCCUUUAUUGGAGAAUUUCUAGGGAGGGUGAGCCUAUGCUCAAGGAAAACCUCUUGCGCGGCUGAGUGGAGGAUGGAUUGGAGUGGGGACAGACUCGAGGCAGGGACACCAAAUAGGAAGCUAUUGCCGUAGUCCAGGGCAAAAGGCAAUGGUGAUA